CUUCCCUCCAAGAACUUCCGACCUUGCUCUUGGGGAGACUCGAACUCACAACCUCUCGGUUGGAAGUGGGGAUUGCUUACCAUCAGAGUCAGUUCUGUGAAUGACUCAACUGUUGAAUAAAGUUGUGUGCAAGUACCUUUAGCUGAAUAAUAGUAUCAACUUGACAAGAGUAUGACUAUUAAAUAAUGAAGACAGCUUACAAGAAUGGCAGGACCUGAAAGAGGAUGUUCUUCACUGAGCUUUUAUAUCUUGAAAAGGUGCUUUGGAGUCUUGUUGGAUCUGAAUGUUGGAACCAUAUCUUAAUUAUGUUCCGCUAUAGAAGUUCUGUUCUGGGUUGUUGAUAAGUUCGUGUGGAGAAAACAAUAGAUGAGUUAAAGAUAUUGGUUUUCUGUCUUUUCCUUGUAGGUCUGACUCCGGAAGUAACUGAGCAACGAUAAACCGAUGCAGCCAAUACCAUAUUAUGCAUGCAAUUCGAGCCAUGCACCAGCUACUGUGCGGAUACCAGAUUGAGUGAUAGAUAUUUCAACUGACAUUGGGCUAAGUAUUGGCAUUCUGCUAUGCAGAAAGUUGGCCUGGUUGGAGAUGUGAUAUUGAUCCAAAGACAAGUACUAAUAUAUGAAGAAUCUUGGAAUAGUCGGGGAGUCCCUGACUCGGAGACAUGCUUGUUGGUUAGCUGAAAAGAUGUUAUACGAGUCAGUAGAAGGUGAGUAUAGUCUAAAGUUUAGACAACACACAAACGCAUCCGUAAGUAAACCUGUGUUUUGAAGGUUGUUGAGGUGCAGAGCUAUCUAGUAUAUGUGUUGGUGAGGAUAUCAGCUACUCGAUGAAAUAGUUAAGUUGCGUGCAAGAUGGUAUCCGAUGAAAUAGUCAAGUUGCGCGCAAACUGGUUUGGAUACUAUCGUUAUCAAACAAAAAAGGCAAAAAAUAGUUUUUCCUAAUGUUUUGGAUCAUUUGUGUGAAGGAAAUGUUUAGUUGUGAAAGUGUCCUGUAAUAAGAAUAUCAAAAGCUACUGCCUGUUCUACUUACGUUUGGCUCGAAUACAUGAUCUAUAAGUUGAGGAUGGAGGGGCUGACUACUAAAUCAUUAUCAUAUGUUUUCUUAAUGUCUUAAAUAUAUUGUUUGCUUUUAGAGAAGUUAGGUCGGUUGGAAACAGCCUCUCUGCUCUUCGGGUAGAGGUAAGGUUCGUCUACAUAUUACCUUCCUCAGAUCCUACUUUGUGGGAUUAUACUGGGUAGUUGUUGUGGCAGUUGUUGUUGCUUUUAGAGAAGUUAGCUUUUAAUAGUCUUGAACAAUUCCUCCACUAAAAUGUGAACUUAUAUAUAAUUGAUUCCCACCUUCUUGUUCUA
rnacentral:lncRNA from 1 species